CUACGGGGGGCUCCAGUGAGGAAUAUUGCACAAUGGGGGGAACCCUGAUGCAGCAACGCCGCGUGGAGGAUGACGCAUUUCGGUGUGUAAACUCCUUUUAUAUGUCAAGAAAAUGACGGUAGCAUAUGAAUAAGCACCGGCUAACUCCGUGCCAGCAGCCGCGGUAAUACGGAGGGUACAAGCGUUACUCGGAAUCACUGGGCGUAAAGGACGCGUAGGCGGGUUGGAAAGUCAGGUGUGAAAUCCUACAGCUUACCUGUAGAACUGCACUUGAAACUUCUAAUCUAGAGUAUGGGAGGGGAGAUGGAAUUAGUGGUGUAGGGGUAAAAUCCGUAGAUAUCACUAGGAAUACCUAAAGCGAAGGCGAUCUCCUGGAACAUUACUGACGCUAAGGCGUGAAAGCGUGGGGAGCAAACAGGAUUAGAUACCCGCGUAGUC
rnacentral:rRNA from 1 species